UUUGAGAGAACUCUGGUUAAGGAACUCUGCAAAUUGAUACCGUAACUUCGGAAGAAGGUAUGCCUUUUGUGGUCACAGGACUUGCUCCUGGAAGCUGCGAGAGGCCACAGGUAAUCGGGGGCUGCGACUGUUUACCAAAAACACAGGACUCUGCGAACACGUAAGUGGAUGUAUAGGGUCUGACGCCUGCCCGGUGCUGGAAGGUUAAUUGAUGGGGUCAGCCGCAAGGCGAAGCUCUUGAUCGAAGCCCCAGUAAACGGCGGCCGUAACAAUAACGGUCCUAAGGUAGCGAAAUUCCUUGUCGGGUAAGUUCCGACCUGCACGAAUGGCGUAACGCUGGCCCCACUGUCUCGACCAGAGACUCAGUGAAGUUGAAAUCGCUGUGAAGAUGCGGCGUAGCUGCGGAAAGACGGAAAGACCCCGUGAACCUUUACUACAGCUUUACACUGAACUUUGAAUUUAUUUGUGUAGGAUAGGUGGGGGCCUAUGAAGCAGGGGCGCUAGCUCUUGUGGAGGCAACCUUGAAAUACCACCCUGAUAACUUCGGAGUUCUAACCUAGAUCCGUAAUCCGGAUUGGGAACACUGUAUGGUGGGUAGUUUGACUGGGGCGGUCUCCUCCCAAGGAGUAACGGAGGAGUGCAAAGGUACCCUCAGCGCGGUCGGUCAUCGCGCUUUUGAGUGCAAUGGCAUAAGGGUGCUUGACUGCGAGACGUACAUGUCGAGCAGGAACGAAAGUUGGUCAUAGUGAUCCGGUGGUUCUGUAUGGAAGGGCCAUCGCUCAACGGAUAAAAGGUACUCCGGGGAUAACAGGCUUAUUCCUCCCAAGAGUCCACAUCGACGGAGGAGUUUGGCACCUCGAUGUCUCUCAUCACAUCCUGGGGCUGUAGCAGGUCCCAAGGGUUCGGCUGUUCGCCGAUUAAAGUGGUACGCGAGCUGGGUUCAAAACGUCGUGAGACAGUUUGGUCCCUAUCUUCCGUAGCCGUUGGAGAUUUGAGGGUGAGUUGCUCCUAGUACGAGAGGACCGGAGUGAAUGUAUCUCUGGUGUUCCGGUUGUCACGCCAGUGGCACUGCCGGGUAGCUAUAUACAGACGGGAUAACCGCUGAAAGCAUCUAAGCGGGAAGCCCCCCCCAAGACGAGAUCUCCCUGAGGACUUGAUCCUCCUAAAGGGCCCAAGAAGACUACUUGGUUGAUAGGCUGGGUGUGUACGCACAGCAAUGUGCUUAGCUAACCAGUACUAAUUGCCCGUGAGGCUUGAUC
rnacentral:rRNA from 1 species